UCCCAGUGGGAGCUUUGCAAGAGGCUCUUUAUUUGGUUUUUGCUUGCCUUUACCUUCAGCACCGAUUCCUUUAGGAAAAUUCUCACCUUGGGUUUUGCAUGGAAUAAUGUUAUUAUUGGUUUGGUACAGCGUUGUGUGAAUUUAGAAUGCACUACUGGGUAGGGUAGAAUUCUUAAUUUUUCUUAAAUGUCCACCAGCAGUGAGUUUUAUGUACUCAAUUGAUGCAUUCUAGUCGAUGAUCGCAUUAGGACCUGCUGUGAUCAGCUGUUUCGAUGCAGAUGCAUAUUAAAAAAAAUUUCGUAAGUGAAAAGAAUUUAG
rnacentral:misc_RNA from 1 species